rnacentral:lncRNA from 1 species
CUUAUUUUUAUCUUUAUAUAAUCUUGAAAAUACAAAAAAUAGUUUCACUUUUAAUAUUUAGUUUUAUUUUGGUAGUGUUUCAAUUAAUUAAGAGUAAUUUUUAUAUUUCUAUAUGUUUAGUCUUCUUAGCCCAAAAUUAAGACCCAAUAAGACAUGGACCCAAUCCAAUUCGGAUCUAGCCCAUAAUAACCCUAGCCCAAUACUUUAAGACCCAUUCCCCCUUUCUUCAUAUACACCUUACUACACAUUUUCUAACCUAGAAUGACUAACCUAAAAAAUCAGUCGUUUUUAGAAAGAAUGAAUAGAACGGGACCUAAGGAGUCAGCCGCAAUUCCCAACAUGAGACCCCCCCAUCGGUUCCCGGUACUGGAGAUGACAACCAACGACCCCUCCUUCUUCUUCAGCACCUCCCCUAAACGUUCUUCUUCUGCGGACACCCAAUCAAAACCAAUCGUCCAACUCCCAUCAUGCCGGCGACCACACACGCACACACAACACCCUACGCAGCCUUCAUCACCUAAACCUGAACCUUCAGACCUAAGUAAAGUGAAUGCCUUCUGUCUCUUCUUCUUCGUCCAGCAUCACCAUUCGAAACAGCGCGAAACGCAAAACAAAAAUUCAAAAAAAGAGCAACGAAAAGUACCAAUCCAGUCAUCAAAGCUUUAGCUCCUCAAAACAAGUUUUUGAAUUCCAUUUCGUCAGGAGAUCUCCGUUUGAGAUCGUUAGAUCUUCAUUUUCGUUUGAGGUCCUUUCGUCGUUCUGAUUUGGCUUGCUAUUCCUACUCGGUUGUACUGUCACUUCUCAGACAAACUGUUGGCGUCGUGGUUUUGAUCCGAUCAGUUAUUUUCUCUCUCUGCGAUUUGGCUUUCAUUUUUUCAUAGAUUCAGAAGCUGGGUUAGCUUCAUUUUGUUGUUUGUUGUUAUUUCAUCAAGCUAUAAAUGUUUCUUUGGCUUUCUGCUCUUAUCUUUUAAUGUUUGCUAAGUUGUGUAUGUAUUAAUGCCAUUCCAACAGUAUCUGACUCGAUCCAAUAAACUUGUUUCAUUCGAUAUUAUAUAUCAUUAUGAUAAGGUAGACAAUUUAGGACCAUUUGUGAUUAAUGAGAGUUCAUAUUGUUCAAAGAAUACAAAUUUUAAGUGGUUCGUUAAUUUGAUUUCAUGAAUAUAGAUUGUUACUGACAGAUACAAGUUCAAUGAUGGCUAUGGGUAUGGUUCCCGUGACAUAGUUACGAUACAUAAUUUCCAAAUCCGAGUGUACAUUUCAUGUGACUCGACUCUAAUUUCCAACAAGGUUAAAUAAAGCGUGUCGUGAACCGCGGGUGCAUUUCAUGUAGCGUGGUUUAUUAUGUGUUUUAAAUAACUUUGAAUUUUCCUAAAAAAUAUUAAAAGCGGUUAGAAGGUUUAAAAAUGCACGUAAGUUUAAAACAGGUGAUUAAUCAGAUAAUUAGGAAAAUAUUAAUAGUUAAGCGACCAUGCUAAAACCACGGAACCCGGGAGUGCCUAACACCUUCUUAACAGAAUUCCUUACCCGGAUUUCUGUGUUCGCGUACUGUAAAACAGAGUCAAACUUUCCUCGAUUCGGGAUUUAAAACCGGUGACUUGGGACACCAUAAAUUAUCCCAAGUGGCAACUCUGAAUUUUAAAUAAAAUAAUCCCGUACCGUUUCGAUUGUCACUUAAAUUGGAAAAAACUCCCUUAUACUCCAUUUUCAGGGUAGUGAAAAGGAGGUGUGACAGCUCUGGCGACUCUGCUGGAGAAAAGAACCCAGAACUUCUGUUCAUGGUUCAGAAUUCGAGCUUAGAAAAUAUGUUAUAGUUGACUUUAUUUAUUAUUUGAUUUUUACGUGUUUGAUCCUAAUGUGCUAAAUGUCACUUUUUACCGCUUUGAUAUUGUUUGGACUGUAUAUAAAUUGUUACGAGAACCUCCUCUCUCUGAGUCUUCUAAGUCAUCCGGGAAGUGUGCACUUCGUGUGACUUCUUUUCUGUUAGAGUCGUAUCCUAAAUUUAAGAAUGAGGUUCGGACAAGUUGCAAAGCUGGUGAAGCUUCUGUAUUCCCGGUACGCUGCCCCACCCUCGGCUCGAGCUGUCCGCUCGAGUAGGCCAGGUCUAGAACAAAUAAACUCAAGAUUUUAAACUUAGAAUAAUAUAACCUCAUGACAGAUCCCUCGUAAGAACGCUUGUUUCCAUCAUGUGCAUUUGACUUUGGGGACUCAACAUAGGGGUUGGGUCCAUCUAGGACAUGUGUACCCAAAAAUAAAAGACGAUCCUGAUGCAUCCUAAUGUGCUACAUGUUGCAAUCUUCAAGGGUAAAAGUGGUCAUUUGACGGACCAAUGAGGUUUGAGGGUAAAUGAGAAUGAAAAGAGGUUGAAGUAAAAAAAUGAAGCAAGUGGGGCCUAGUUCUAAUUUUCUUUCACACUUUUUCAAAAAAAAAAAAUCCAAAAAAAUGAAAAUCAAAAAUCCAAAAAAGAGUUUGCACUUUCCCCGUCAUUUUUUUUUUCAAAAAACAAGAAAAAGAAAAUCCAAAUUUUCUCUAAAAAAAUAUAUGCCCGUAUCCAAAAAAUAUAUGCCCGUAAUUGGAUUCUCUAAAGAAAAUUCAAAUUUUUUUUUUGUCUCUAAAAAAAAGACAAAAAAAUAUAUUUUCUCUAAAUUAGUUAUUUUUUUAAUUCUUGCCCGUAUCCAAUCCGCCCGAACUACGCAUACCUGAUUCUAGUCUUCCGGGGUGUGAUACGUAGGCAACCCACAUAGGGUCCGGUCUUCCUAGUGAAUCUUAGGUUCUUGGCUUCGCUGGGUCUUAGCCAAAUCUUGCAUUUUAGCCACUUUUAGCCACAUAAGUUAAUUUUAGAAAAAUAGUCACAAUCAUGUCUUGCAUGUGUCCAACAGGAAGGGUUAUUGUCUCACAUAGCGUUCUAGGUCUUUAACUUAUUUGGUUUUAAUUUUCGCAUAUAGGUGUGGGUUUACUUACCGGAGUUUGAGCAUGACAGAUGCUCCGGACCAUCCAGUCGGAAUCGCUCAUUCAGGAGUUGCUUAGGGAGAAUUUUUUUUAUAUAUAUUUUGAGUCUAUUUUUCUUUUUAUGUCAUCUUUUACCUUCUAGUUUUGUAUAGUAGUGUCGAGUCUUUUGUUAUUGUAUUUCCUAUUUUGUAUUUGAAAAACGAUGUUCAUAAAUCAAAAUAAAAAAAAGUAAUUUUGUAUUUUUAUAUUUCUAUUAGAUGUAUUCUUUAGAAUACUAACUCUAGAAGUUCAAAAAAAAAUCUUUCGAGGUUUUCCUUAGGAAAUUAAUAUCUAGAACUCAAAAUAAAAAAAUUGCGUUUAUAUUCCCUUUACUACAUUAAGAGUAAAAAUUCAAAAAAAAAAAGAAUUUUCUUUUAGUGUCUCUUUAAAAGUUUUCUUUAAGAUAUUAAUUACAAAAUCCAAAAAGAUUUUCUUUUGAGGUUCUUCUUUGGGAAAUUAAUGAAAGAUGAAUAUAUAAAAUUCUUUUUAUUUUUACUAGAACUUUAGGACAUUGUACAUAGAAGAAAAAGAAAACAACAUACUUUAUCUUUGGUUUAUCUUCAGAGUUUCUCCCUUAGGUAAUCAAAACUAAAAUCCAAUUUUUUUUUAUCUUUUCAUUUCUUGGUUCGAAAUUUUCCUUCAGGAUAUCACACGAAAAUUCAAAAUAUUUUUCUUUGGUUCAUUCUUUAGAUUUCCUUCCUAAAAAAAAUUUGCUUCCUUCAUUUCUCUUUUCUCAUCAGAGUAUUCAUUAAAGCAAAAAAAAAAAGAAAAAAAGAAAAUGAGAACGUUAGUUUGUUUACUUUAUUCCAGAUCUUCCAAAACUACGCAAAGAUCUGAUUCAUGCAACGUCAUAAUACGUAGGCAACCUACAUAGAGUUCGAUCGAAUCAUUUUUUUUAUUUCAUUAAAAAAAAGGAAACAAAAAAAGAUGUGGAAUUACGGGAUGUGAGAAAUGUGAGGAAAGGAAAGAGUGAUAAUUAGAAGGAAAAAAAAAAGAGAAAGGAAAAUGAGCAAGAUAAGAAGUGCUAGAAAAGAAAGAAAAGAGAAGAUUGAAAUGAACAAAAUUGGGAUGAUGCCAAGUGACUUUGUGACCCUCGAAGUCAUUCUAGAACCGUUAAUGGUUGCUAGGUGCAUUGCACGCAAUGUGAUAUUUUUAGCUUUUAAAUGCCCUAAUGCUAACAGGAUGACCCCAUUUUGUUCCUUUUGUUACCUUUAUUGAGUAGAAGGGUGGUUGGUUUGUGGUUCUUAAACUGGUAACUCUUCCAUACAACACAAGGUCAAAGAGCAAGGUAGCCAUGGCUAGGAAAGACUUGGACACGAGAGUUGUUGACCCGUCGAGGGAGUUUGUGGAGUCGGAGUCUGAAUUGAAAGAGGAGGUCCAAAGGGUGAAACAACAGAUGGUAGAAAUGUAUCAGUCUUGGAUCAGGGGACAUCCUCCACCUUCAUUCCCCACUAACUACACUGAAAACCCUACAACUAUCCCACCCCUAUCACAAGCCCAGGUUCCCACUGUUGUUAAUAUCUCCCCGCAACAUUUUCACACUCCACCCCUCAAAAGCACAUCAUAUCCCGCUCCUUUGGACACUCAUGCUCUUGUAGCUCCUCCUCCAGCUACUUUUCCUUGAUCCUCUAACGAGACUGUGUUCAAAGUCCCCGAUGCCCAACACUAUGCUCCAGAACCAACUUUCAAAGUCUUGGAUCCAUACUCUCACGCUCCAUAUUUUGAGGCUCCUGGUGAAGCUGAAAAUCCUGCUAAGACAGUGGAGCAAGAUGACAUAUCCAGGAAGGUGAAAAUCUUAGAGGAGUUUUUAAGAAACAUGCAAGGGAUAGGAAGCCAGAUGAGCGUGGCUUACAAAGACUUGUUCUUGUUUCCUGACAUCCAACUACCUGCUGGGUUUAAAAUGCCAAAGUUUUAUUUGUAUGAGGAACAUGGAGAUCCCAUGGCCCAUUUGAGAGGCUACCGCAGUAAGAUGAGAGGCGAUGGUGGGAAGGAUAAAUUAUUGAUGGUGUAUUUCAGUCAGAGUUUGAGUGGGGCUGCUCUGGAUUGGUACACCCGCCAAGAUGCUAACAGGUGGUACACAUGGGAUGAUAUGGCUCAAGCCUUUGCCCGGCACUUUCAAUACAAUAUAGAUAUCAUCUCGGAUCAUAUGUCCCUCACCAAGAUGGAAAGGAAGCCUACUGAAAGCUUUAGGGAAUACAGACUCAGAUAGAGAGAGCAAGCUGCCAGAGUCAAUCCUCCGAUGGGAGAAAAAGAGAUGGUCGAGUAAUUUCUUCAAGCUCAAGAGCCAACUUACUUUGGGCAAUUGAUCUCGGCUGUGGGUAGGCCUUUUAAUGAAGUGGUAAAAAUGGGAGAAAUGGUAGAAGAUGGGCUGAAGUCAAGCAAGAUCAUGAGCUAUUCUGCUUUAAAAGCAACAACACAAGCAAUUCAGAACGACACAGGAAGCUUGCUGGGUCAGAAGGAACACGAUAAUGUUGCCAUGGUUGUUUCAGAGUCACAACAUGGUCCAAAGGGUCCGCCUAACCAAUAUACCCAGCCUCAACUCCAACCCCAAACCUAUCCCCGAGCUCUACAUAAUCCACCUCAGUAUUAUCCUUCGAACAAUGUCCGGUCAUCUGUCCAACCACCAGAUCACUCCCUAUGGCGAGCGCCAGCACCGCAUAAUGCAUUCUUGCCUUCACAAUAUUUUUGAGCACCCAAUAACCCUAGAAAAUAGGGGCAGGGAGGGGAACAAAGGCAAAGAAAUAGUUUCAUGCCAAUCGGGGAGUCUUACACAAGCUUGUUUGAAAUGUUAAAACAUUCUGGCCUGAUUGAGCCGCUCCUUGGCUAUACUCCAGACCCAUAUGCAAAAGGUUUUGAUCCUACUGUACGAUGCAUGUAUCACUCUAACGUCCAAGGGCAUAGCAUUGGAAAUUGCCGUGCUUUGAAAGGGGAAAUAGAAAGAAUGAUUCAAGAAGGGAUAAUUGUGAUCAAGGACAGUGACAGGGAGUACGCGAAUCCUCUUGGGAAUUUGCUUACUGAAGUUAAUGAUAUUGAAGCUGGUAAUGGUCUUGGCAAUAUUGAUGUGGAACUCAGUGGCUAAGAUGUCGUGCUUGGUAAUUGGAAAGACGCUCAAUCUCUUGGCUAGCUGGGGAGGAGUCUUGGUGGUUUAUUUUGUUAUCAUUUCUGUUAUCCGGGUUAUUUUCAGGGUUGUAAUUCGAAUAUUGUCUUGUGACUCAAACCCUUCUAUCCUUUUAUUUUGCCUAGUUUGCUUAGUCGUAGUAGCUCAUUUAUUGUUGUCUGGUUUUGUUCCAGGGUUGUAACCCCAGCUUAUUUUACUUGUUUUGUUGUUCAAACCCUUUCCCUAUCUGUCUAAUGCAAUUUUCUGUUUUCUGUUGUUAUUUCUAGUUAGUGUUUGUUUAGUUCUCUUUCCCUUUUAUACUUCUUUUCCUGCUGACUCUAGUGACAUGACAUGCACGCGUAAUUCUCAGCCUGGUCUUAAAAGUUAGUUUAGUCAUGAAGUAAUGAAACAAUUUUGAAGAUGAUAGAGAAAUUUAAGGGAAAUAAGUAAAGGCAUUUUGAGAUCAUUUCAAGCCCGAAUUGUGUGAACUUGGGCAGAUAGAACAUAAAGAAACACUAUUGAAACGCAUCCUGCCGCAUCAAGUUGAAGUUAAAGGCAAGUUUGCCCCAAAUUUGCAGGGGUCGUUCGUGGUAACGAGAGUGUUGUCCAAUGGUGCUUUGUAUUUAACAGAUAUAGAAGGCAAGUGUGUGGAUAUAGUUAUCAAUUCUGAUGCAGUCAAAAGAUAUUAUGUAUGAUUUCUUUGGUUUGUUUAACUGUGUUAUUUGUAUUUGACAUGCUCUGAAGAUUGGAAUGAUGAAGACAUUUUAUUAUGUUAUCUAAACAUUUUAUCCCUUUGUUACCCCUUUGUGCAUUAUUUAUUUUCUUUCAUAUCCCUCUUUUGGAAUCAGAAGCAGAGUUUAGAAAUAUGAUACAAAAAAGGAGAGAAAAGAAAAAAAGAAGAGAAAAAGAUAAAGAAAAAAUGGAAAAAGAGUAAAGAAAAGAAAAAGAAAAAAAAGAAGAAGAGAAAAGUACAAAAAUAAAGCAAUUCCUAUGACUUGAACUACGUUUGACCUGAUUCCUUUUAAGGAUACGUAGGCAGCCUCAUGGUUCGGUCCCAUCAAAAUAAAAAUUCAAAAGUCCUCAAGCAAAGAAACUGGGGCAGAAGUUGUGGUAUAUGUAAGAGAUCUGAUUCCAAAAGUUGUAAUUUAGAGCCCUUUUAAGCUGUUUUUGAGCCAUUAUGAUACCCUUUCUUUCUAAUCCUAUCCAAAAGCCUACAUUACGGUCCAAAAAAAGACUUUCCGAUCAAUCUUUGAGUAGUGCCAAGUCAAGCGAGUUAGAGGUAUGAUUCACAUCAAGGGCAACACUCUGUUCUACACAAGGGAAACAAAAAUGAGAGAGUCUUAUCGGUGAAAACUUUCAUAGGCACCAUAAGGCGACAGUAAGUUGAGAGAAAGAACAAAAUGAGAGAGGCUUGAUGGUUAAAACCCUUCAUACACUACAAGUCGAAUAAGGAUCGUGAAUCAGAUCGGAUAAUCGGAGCAUUGAAGCCCAGUUUCACGGCGAAGAGGCACAAAAAGAGUUGAACAUUAGACUUGCUAGACAGAUUAGGCCAUUUCAUCAAAAGGUGCAUGUCAUGGUCAUUAGAGUUGGUGUCCACAUCUGAUAAGUUUCUACUUUGUAAUUUUCUUGUUAGGUAUCAUCUCUUUCCAUUGUCCCUUAUUCUGUUCCUUUUGUCUUGUUUACUUCCCCUUCUUGAGUCUGUUUGGUCGAAACAAGUGAGAAAUGACUUCAAAAUUUGCUACCAGCUUUCCAAUUGCACAAAACGGAAUAUGUCUUGCACAUCAAAGUGGCAUAAGUCAGGAAAGAACAGUAGGCGUACUGAGUUGGCAACAAUCAAUGUGUUUUGGGAUUCAUGUAAAAUACAAAGAUUUGGUAUAGGUCAAUUCAUGAGCAAUGCAACAGAUAAAGGGUAUUGGGUUUGAACGGAUCAGAGGUAUUUUCUGUGAUAAGGGUGACAGAGAAAGUGGUUAGUCAAUAAACAUGCAAGGUCUUUCAAGUUGAAAUCAAGGUCAUCAUGGCAAGUGAAUGAGCAAUCGCCCGCAAAGUCAAGGCCACAAACCAACCACCAUGUUUAAACUCACAAGUUUUCUUUGUCUGAAACAGGGAUGGAAGCUAUGUUCAUAUCAAAGCUUGGAAGCUUGAAAUUUCAUGUGUAAUGCCCCAAUUCUGCUUACGAAAAGGCUAUUGAGAAAAUCACACAUCACCCCUAGGAGAAACACUUCCUAGUCUGGGUUUUCAAGUUAUAUUUUGUUGUAGGAGACACACUUCAUAAAUUGAGAUUUUAACCUUAAGAGACGUACUUUCUAGUUUGGAUCAUAUGAGUUUGAGUCACUGAUGGUUUUACCCCUAGGAGACGCACUUCCUAAUCUAAGCCUUUCAAGUUAUAUUUUGCUCUAGGAGACGCACUUCCUAAUCGAGAUUCCACCCCUAGGAGAUGCACUUCCUAAUCUUGGUCAUUUAAAAUUCAUCCCUAGGAGACGCACGUCCUAGUUUGAGUCAUUGAAGUUUUACCCGUUAGGAGACACACUUCCUAGUAGGGAUCUUUCAGAUUUUACCCCUAGGAGACACACUUCCUAGUUUGGGUCAUUAAAGUUUAUUCCUAGGAGACACACUUCCUAGUUUGAGUCAUUGAAGUUUCACCCAUAGGAGACGCCUAGUCUGGAUUUUUCAGGUUAUAUUUUUUGUUUUAGGAGACACACUUCCUAAAUUGAGAAUUCAUUAUAGGAGAUGCACUUCCUAGUUUGAGUCAUUGGAGUUUCACCCACAGGAGACACAUUUCCUAGUCUGGGUUUUUCAGGUUAUAUUUUUGUUUUAGGAGACACACUUCCUAAAUUGAGAGUUCAUUAAUAGGAGAUGCACUUCCUAGUUUGAGCUAUUGAAGUUUCACUCCUAGGAGACGCACUUCUUAGUCUGGUUCUUUCAGGAUACACCUGUAGGAGACGCACUUCCUAAAUUGCAAUUCACAUAGGAGACGCACUUCCUAAAUUGCAAUUCACAUAGGAGACGCGCUUCCUAGUUUGAGUCACUGAAGUUUCACCCAUAGGAUAUGCACUUCGUAAAUUGAGAGUUCAUUCGUAGGAGACACACUUCCUAGUUUGAGUCAUGGAUGUUCCACCCCCAGGAGACGCACUUCCUAGUAUGUGAUUUUCAGGUUAUAUUUUUGUUUUAGGAGACACACUUCCUAAAUUGAUAUUUCACCCCUAGGAGACGCACUUCCUAGUUUGAGUCAUUUAAGUUCGGUCCUAGGAGACACACUUCCUAGUCUGGUUUAUUGAAGUUUUACCUGUAGGAUAUGCACUUCCGAAUCAAGGUCUUUCAAGUUAUUCUUUUAGGAGACGCACUUCCUAAAUUGAGAGUUCAUUCAUAGGAGAUGCGCUUCCUAGUUUGGUUCAUUCAAGUUUCACCCCUAGGAGACACACUUCCUAGUUUGGUUCAUUCAGGUUUUAUUUUUAGCAGACGUAUUUGCUAGUCAAAAUUUUUUGGUUUUACUCAUAGGAGAUGCACAUCCUAGUCUAGUCUUUAGUUUACUCUCAUCAUUGAAUCAAUAGUAUAAGUGGUUUACAAUAUUGCUAACAACUCACAAAUAUUCCUAAUGCAAACUGGGGCAGAAAAUUUUGUUUGUUUUGUUUGUAUUGAUUGCAAGCACCUACAUGGAAAACAAGGGAACACAGAAAGUUUCAGCAAUUAGGCGCCCACCUGGAGAACAAGGGAAGACAGUUCAAGUUUCAAGGGAAGACAAUUCAAGUUUCAAGGAAAAGCAGUUUCGAAGGAGGACAGUUCAAGUUCAGCAAUCAGGCGCCCACCUGGAGAACAAGGGAAAACGGUUCAAGUUUCGAAGGAAGAUAGUUCAAGUUCUGGCAAUCAGGUACCACCUGGAAAACAAGGUAAUUAACUUUAGAAUGCAAUUCAAGUCAAUAACAAAAGAAGCUCACGGCAAGAAUGCGAGUCAACAGUCCGAGAUGAUCAACGGAAGUUAGUCACAAUCCAGAAUAAAAAAAAGGCAAGAAGUGAAUCCAAAUGCAUAAGUUGAUGAAAGAUGUGAGCUGCUCAAGACAUGACUGAAGUCACAAGCAUGGUAUGUCUGGUUUUGAUCCGAAAAGCNNNNNNNNNNNNNNNNNNNNNNNNNGGACCGGAACCUCGACAUAACGGCACCUCGACCGGCUCUCCACCUCAGUACACUCCAUCACUGUUCCUACUUCUGAACAAUACGUGGCCUGAUUCCUUUAUAGCUAAGGAUAUGUAGGCAGCUCAGAUACUAGAGCUCGGUCACAUUCUCCUUUCUUUUAGUUUUGGUCUCCCUAAAUAAGGGUCGGGUCAAAAAACCUGUCUAGUCGUUCUUUGUCUGAAAAUACGAAGUCAAAGAGGGGCAGCUGUAGACAUGUGAUUCUUGACCCUCCCCAAUAUUUUACAUAUUUUUGUAUUUAAAUACUUAGUUUAGGUUUAAUAUAGUUAUUUCAACUAAUUUUAACUCUUUUACUUUAUGUCGUCACAAAAAUGAAAAUUACAAAAAAAUAUUUUAUUUUAUGUACCUUUCAUAAAAAUUUAAAAAAUAAUAUAUAAAUAGUACCUUAUUUUUAUCCUUAUAUAAUCUUGAAAAUACAAAAAAUAGUUUCACUUUUAAUAUUUUGUUUUAUUUUGGUAGUGUUCCAAUUAAUUAAGAGUAAUUUUUAUAUUUCUAUAUUUUUAGUCUUCUUAGCCCAAAAUUAAAACCCAAUAAGACAUGGACCCAACCCAAUUCAGAUCUAGCCCAUAAUAACCCAAGCCCAAUACCCUAAGACCCAUUCCCCCUUUCUUCAUAUACACCUUACUACACAUUUUCUAACCUAGAAUGACUAACCUAUAAAGUCAGCCGUUUUUAGAAAGAAUGAAUAGAACGGGACCUAAGGGGUCAGCCGCAAUUCCCAACAUGAGACCCCCCAUCGGUUCCCGGUACUGGAGAUGACAACCAACGACCCCUCCUUCUCCUUCAGCACCUUCCAUGAACGUUCUUCUUCUGUGGACACCCAACCAAAACCAAUCGUCCAACUCACAUCACGCCGACGACCACACACGCACACACAACACCCUACACAACCUUCAUCGCCUAAACCUGAACCUUCAGACCUAAGUAAAGUGAAUGCCUUGUGUCUCUUCUUCUUCGUCCAGCAUCACCAUCCGA